UGUCACAGUGGGGGCAGCUAGAGACGGCCCCAGCAGGUAACGCUGCCCCAGUCGAGCCUGGACAAGUGACCAUGGCUGCAAAACUGAUUCUUCUCGUGCUUUUGCAAACCCUCAUCCAGUACCCACAGAUGGUGGGUGAUGGGCUGGAUGAGGUCACCCGUCUGCGCAUGGAGCUGCGUGAAAAGCUCCUGGACAGAGAGAUGACUCGGCUGCUGCAGGAGCUGGAGCAGAGCAGCCUGGAGCGCAGUGUCAGGGCCUGGGGAGCCCUGCUCUGGGCUGCCUUGCAACAGGGGGACUUCUGGGCUCUGGCUGGAGUCCUGGGCCUCCUCUUGUGGCUGUGGUUUAUCCGCAGCAGAAGAAGCCGCCAGCCAGACAACAAUGGCCGGGAGGAGGGGGCAGGAGAUGGCGAUGGUGGUGGAAAUGAAGGGGAAGAAAAUCGUGAUGCGAUUAUGUGGGAAGUUAACAACGGUGAUGCAAUUGAAGGAGAAGGCCACGAUGUUGCAAAUGAAGUAGAAGAGGAUGUUAUUACCCACAACUUGAGACGACGUUUAGAGGAGCACACAUGGCAUCUGAUGGAAGGUAGCGCGAUAACAACUAUCCUGAUGGAGAACUUCAUGAUGUUCUUUGGACACCUCUUGUCAGACAGUUCAUACCCAGUGCCGCAACGAGCCAUUGGGGUGGGCAGUGCCUUUGAAGGCUGGAGUCCCCGGGAGGAGGAUGUGGUGUACACUGUCCUUGUACCUCUCAAUCCUCCCCCGGGGCACACCUUCCAUCUGGAGAUGGACACUUCAGGGCACAUACCUGGCAGGAACUUCUGUGUCCGCGUGGAGCCGGUGUGCACCUGCCCAAGGGAGCAGCAGGAUGACAACGUGCUGUGCUCCCUCCACCACCACCCAGAGGAUGAGCAGAGGAGGAACGAGGAGCCCAACUUCCUAAACACCCUCUGCACUGGCUCCUACCUGGAUGUGGAGAAAACUGCCCGCUGGUUCUACCAGUUGGUGAGAGCGGCCUGGCCGGCUUUGCCUCAGUCACACAGUUGGCAAUUAGUGCUGCUGCCCUCCAACCGCUGCUGCAAAUUCAAGGUGACCAGAGGCAGACUGAGCCUGAUGGUUGAGUUGCUCUUUGGGGUGCAAGUAGGCAAUUCAGACAUCUACGUGAGCAGCCAGCCUACAGAGGCCCUCUUCACCCCAAGCACAGUGUGGCCUGAGACCUACGCCGUGGCAGAGAUGAAGUUUUUCCGGCUCAUUGCCCGGCAGGCUCCACCUGACAGUUGGCACCUCAAGUGCCUGCAUGUCUUGGCCCGAGCUCUUCUGGGCAUAGGUUUCUCCACCUAUACCCUGAAGACCAUUGUGAUGCACCUCCUGAACACCGUACCUCUGUCAGGCUGGCGCAUGAGGCAUUUCUUGCAGCGGCUGGAGGAUACCAUGGAGUACCUGCACGGUUCCCUGGAGGAGAAACGCCUUGACCACUUUGUUGUGGGCAACCGGACAUUUCCUCAAGAGAUUCUCUUGCCCCCAGAUGUCAAAACCACCGAGCCACCCAACCUCUUCCAUCGCCUGGCACAUGAUCCGGCCGCCCACACGCAGGCCAUGAGGGAGUACCAAGAACUUGCAGAACGGAUCGAAAGGAUUGUCCUCUACGGCCAGUGAAAGAGGUCUUAACAUAGAAAGCUGUGCUUGUGGGGCUCACAGCUGGUCCAAGACAACCACCUCAUACCACAAGCAAAAAGAGAGGAGGAUGUGGGAGAGAGAGAGGGAAGGGAAAACCUUGUGCAGCAGCACUCUGCCAUCAAUAUUCCCCUCUUAGCAGUCUGCCCAGCUCAGCCUCCUGUGAUGACCUGGGGGGCUACAAAGAUGACUUUCAUCCUCCUUUCCCCUCCUACUCUCACGGCCAUUGUGUCCAUUUCAGAUGGGCCCAGGAAUUCUUUCUGGUACCUUCAGUUGCUCAGGGAUCAAGUGAGAGGCAUCGCUAAUGUUCCUAAACUGUAUCUCUCCUUCUUCCCUGAAGGGAUAUCUUUAGCAUCAAUAGAUCUGUCCCGACACAUAGUAAUGCCCUGUAGUCACUGCAUUUAGGACAGGCAAUCCAGAAACUGCUUUCCCCUUGCUUCAAUAAAGAGUGCUAUUCCAGAA